GAUGAACGCUGGCGGCGUGCCUAAUACAUGCAAGUCGAGCGAACAGACGAGGAGCUUGCUCCUCUGACGUUAGCGGCGGACGGGUGAGUAACACGUGGAUAACCUACCUAUAAGACUGGGAUAACUUCGGGAAACCGGAGCUAAUACCGGAUAAUAUAUUGAACCGCAUGGUUCAAUAGUGAAAGACGGUUUUGCUGUCACUUAUAGAUGGAUCCGCGCCGCAUUAGCUAGUUGGUAAGGUAACGGCUUACCAAGGCGACGAUGCGUAGCCGACGUGAGAGGGUGGUCGCCCACACUGGAGCGUAGACACGGUCCAGACGCCUACGGGAGGCAGCAGUAGGGAAUCUUCCGCAAUGGGCGAAAGCUUGACGCAGCAACGCCGCGUGAGUGAUGAAGGUCUUCGGAUCGUAAAACUCUGUUAUUAGUGGAGAACAAAUGUGUAAGUAACUAUGCACGUCUUGACGGUACCUAAUCAGAAAGCCACGGCUAACUACGUG
rnacentral:rRNA from 1 species